CGGUCCUCCCGCAACAAUAAACUAUGAACUCCGCCAGGCCUGGAAGGGAGCAACGGUAGUAGUGGAUUUGUGUGCCGGGGUGUGGCUG
rnacentral:SRP_RNA from 1 species